UAUGCCAACUAAUAUUUUUAAGGUGAAAAAAUAUAAAAAUUGUGAUUAUACUUUUAGAAAAGAUUAAUGUUAACCUCUGCAGAAAAGCAUUGUCAUAAAGAAAACCCUUCGUUUUUUAAAUCAAAUUGUUUAAACAACUUUCUCAAUAACGAUAUAAUGUUCGGUGAACGAGCUUGUAAACAAAUAAAUAAUAUGUUUUAUGAUCUUCCGUAUUGGACAGAACACAAAAAUGAAAAAACAAAACAUAGUAUUUAUUCAAUAGAAGAUAUUUCCUUAAGUAUUUACGAUCUUAAUGACAACCAAACGAUGGAAUUUAUGGAUGACGAUAACAUAAGUUGUGAUGAAGUAAUAAUUCAAACAUUUUCAUCAUCUCAAAAUCGAAAUGCAUGUGAUGAAAACCCACAGAAACAAAUGGAAAACCUAAAUAAUAUUAAAUGUAGUAAAAAAAAAGAUACUAUGUCUAAACUUUUAUCUAUGGUGAAUACAACAAAUAUAAGCGAAUAUACUUUUUUUGAUCCUGGACGA